rnacentral:rRNA from 1 species
GUGGGGAAUUUUGGACAAUGGGCGCAAGCCUGAUCCAGCCAUUCCGCGUGCAGGAUGAAGGCCUUCGGGUUGUAAACUGCUUUUGUACGGAACGAAAAGGUUCUCUCUAAUACAGGGGGCUGAUGACGGUACCGUAAGAAUAAGCACCGGCUAACUACGUGCCAGCAGCCGCGGUAAUACGUAGGGUGCAAGCGUUAAUCGGAAUUACUGGGCGUAAAGCGUGCGCAGGCGGUUUUGUAAGACAGGCGUGAAAUCCCCGGGCUCAACCUGGGAAUUGCGCUUGUGACUGCAAGGCUGGAGUGCGGCAGAGGGGGAUGGAAUUCCGCGUGUAGCAGUGAAAUGCGUAGAUAUGCGGAGGAACACCGAUGGCGAAGGCAAUCCCCUGGGCCUGCACUGACGCUCAUGCACGAAAGCGUGGGGAGCAAACAGGAUUAGAUACCCGUGUAGUCC